CAGCACCUCAAGUGGUCAGGAUGAUUAUUGGGCCUAAAGCGUCCGUAGCCGGUUUGAUAAAUCUUUUGUGAAAUUGUACAGCUUAACUGUACAGCGUGCAAGAGACACUGUCAAACUUGAGACCGGGAGGAGUCAGAAGUAUUCCAGAGGGAGCGGUAAAAUGUUAUAAUCUCUGGAGGACUACCUGUGGCGAAGGCGUCUGACCAGAACGGAUCUGACGGUGAGGGACGAAAGCUAGGGGAGCGAACCGGAUUAGAGACCCGAGUAGUCC
rnacentral:rRNA from 1 species